rnacentral:lncRNA from 1 species
AGCUAUCUUUAUUUAUACUAUAAAUAAAAUAAAAUAUGAUAGAAUAAAUAAUGCAAUAAACUUUGUAAUUUCACAUUUUAUAAUAUUCAUAUAAAAUUUUGAUUAUAAAGCUUUUUUGGCAGCUACCUUUUAUUUAUAUUUUAUAUCUAUUAUAAGAGCUAGGCUCAUGCGCUUUCGAAAGCACAGAGUCCUCCAUUAUUGUAAGUUGUUUUGAUGAUAAGACAUUCAAUUCGACGAUCGACUUUGUUAGAUAUGAUCUAUGCUAUUUAAAUUAUUUAGAAAAUAAAUUUCAUAAUUUUUUUUUAUUUUGUUUGUACGUCUAGUGAACGAGUAGCUUCAAUAUGACCGGCUGAAAAUAAAUAUGUUAUAAAAAAAGUGAUGAGAUACUCAAAUUUCAAAUUGGAAGUAUUGUUCUUGCUCUUGAUCUUAAUAGAAAUUUUUUAUUAAAGUUUCAUGUAAUUUGGAUUGUUCUACACCCUUGAGCUUACAAAGUGUCACACGGCUGUUAAAAUAAUUAUUAUUGAGACCUUUGAUCAUUUAGUAAAUGAUGUCGAAAAACUAUGAAAUUUGAUUUCUAAAUGUUUCUAAUAGAGUAGAUUAUAUUUAAUGGUGCCGAUCGUCGAAUCGGAUGUCCCAUAAUCGAAAACAACUUACAAGCACAGAGAUCUCCAUGCUUUCGAAAGCGCAGGAGACGUAUUCUUAUUAUAAAAGCUAUUAUUUUAACUUUAUCAUUAUUAAAGAUGAAUGAAUCCGAGUGUACUAAUAGAGUAAAUAGUGUAAUGAACUUUCUCACAUUCUAAAAUAUCAACAUAAAAAAUAGGCUAAAUUAUAUAAAAUUCCCUUGUAAUAACUUGCUUUUUCACUUUUCCCCCUGACAUUUAAAAAUCUACACUUUGCCCUCUUGUAAAAUAAAAAAUGUUCACAGGGGGUUUACGGUGUGUAAAAUGAUCAUUUUGCCCCUCGCCAUUUUCAUCUUCUUCCUCAUUUUCCUCAGCCGUCCCUUCGAUCGAUCGUGAUUCCCACCUCAAUCGGCCGCGAUUUCUCUCCAUUUUCUUCUCCACCUGCUCCCCUUCUCAUCCUACACCCUCGACGCCCCUCGAUUUCGACGACAGUAGGGAGGAAAUCGAGAUGGGUGUUGAUGGAGAGGUAGGCAAGGGCAACGAGGGCGAAGGCGAGACAGCGGAGGAGGGCGAAGGGGAUGUGGGCGAGGGUGAGGCAAUGGAGGACGGCGAGGCGGCGAGGCAGCAACGCGGCGGCGAGGUGGCGAGCCGGAGGGAGGCGAAGCAACAAGGAAGAGGGCGGAGGGGUAUUUUCGGCAUAAAAAAAUAUUUUAUAACGGAACCCUAACGAUAGGGGGUGAAGUGCACAUUUUUCAUUUUACAAGGGGGCAAAGUGUAGGUUUUUAAAUGUCAGGAGGGGAAAGUGAAAAAGCGGGUUAUUACAGGGGGGUUUUCUGUAAUUUAGCCUAAAAAAUAUUAUAUGAAGUCCAAAU